GGGAAGGUGGCUCAGUGGUAGAGUGCUUGCCUUGCAUGCAUAAGGCCCUGGGUUCGAUUCCUUAGCAUCACA
rnacentral:tRNA from 1 species